GGGUUGUGAGGUUAAGCGACUAAGCGUACACGGUGGAUGCCCUGGCAGUCAGAGGCGAUGAAGGACGUGCUAAUCUGCGAUAAGCGCCGGUAAGGUGAUAUGAACCGUUAUAACCGGCGAUUUCCGAAUGGGGAAACCCAGUGUGACUCGUCACACUAUCAUUAACUGAAUCCAUAGGUUAAUGAGGCGAACCGGGGGAACUGAAACAUCUAAGUACCCCGAGGAAAAGAAAUCAACCGA
rnacentral:rRNA from 1 species